AUCAGUUCUUUAGUUCAAAAC
rnacentral:miRNA from 1 species